rnacentral:rRNA from 1 species
CCGUAGGUGAACUGCGGAAGGAUCAUU